AAAACUCCUUACUCUAUCGCUUUUUUAAAGAGGAAAGUCCGGACACUAAAGAGCAUCAUACUAGUUAAUAGCUAGGCAUUUAAUGACAGCAAGUGCAACAGAAAAUAACCGCUUGAUUUAUCGAGUAAGGGUGAAAAGGUGAGGUAAGAGCUCACCAGUAUGUUAAGUAAUUAACAUAGCUGUGUAAACCUUAUGAAGUGCAAGGUCAAAUAAACCAAGGUUUCAAUGAAAUAUAGUUGCUCGCUUAAUCUUGGAGGGUAGACCGCUAAAGUUACUUAGUGAUAAGUAAAUAAGAUAAAUGAUAGAGACUAUAUUAUAGUAACAGAAUCCGGCUUACUAAGGAGUUUUUUUU
rnacentral:RNase_P_RNA from 1 species